ACUUCAAGGCUUGGUUCUCUACAGCACACUGAAUACUCAUUAAAAACCAUGGACCACAGCAGGCCCUACCCCAGUAAGCUGUGUGCCCAUCAUCUCCCCCUUUAGAUGGCAAGAUCCUGGAAGGAAGGAAUGGUCUGGUCUUUCUUGGUACCCUCAGCAUGUACCAGAGUGCCUGGCACAAAGAAGACAGCACCUGAGUGAAUUUCCUCUGCUUGAUGUUCAAUUGGUUUUUUUUUCUCCUGAGAGUUAGUGGCCUCUGAUGGAGGAAGAAAGAUUUCCUUAUGAUGCUAUCUACUCUGAUCAACCCAUUCAAUUGAUUCAUUCAAUCAAAAACAUUUAUUAAGAUAAUAAGGAAAAAGGCUUGUGCCAAAAGAUUCAUAGCUGCACUCUUUGUGGUGACAAAAACAAAACUGGAAAA